UACGUAGGGGGCGAGCGUUGUCCGGAUUCAUUGGGCGUAAAGAGCUCGUAGGCGGCUUGGCAAGUCGGAUGUGAAAACUCCAGGCUCAACCUGGAGCCGCCAUUCGAUACUGCUAUGGCUAGAGUCCGGUAGGGGAGUGUGGAAUUCCCGGUGUAGCGGUGAAAUGCGCAGAUAUCGGGAGGAACACCGAUGGCGAAGGCAGCACUCUGGGCCGGCACUGACGCUGAGGAGCGAAAGCGUGGGGAGCAAACGGG
rnacentral:rRNA from 1 species